UACGUAGGGUGCGAGCGUUGUCCGGAAUUAUUGGGCGUAAAGAGCUCGUAGGCGGUGUGUCACGUCGGCCGUGAAAACCUGCAGCUUAACUGUGGGCCUGCGGCCGAUACGGGCAGACUUGAGUUCGGUAGGGGAGACUGGAAUUCCUGGUGUAGCGGUGAAAUGCGCAGAUAUCAGGAGGAACACCGGUGGCGAAGGCGGGUCUCUGGGCCGAUACUGACGCUGAGGAGCGAAAGCGUGGGGAGCGAACAGG
rnacentral:rRNA from 1 species